UGGGGAAUUUUGGACAAUGGGCGAAAGCCUGAUCCAGCAAUGCCGCGUGUGUGAAGAAGGCCUUCGGGUUGUAAAGCACUUUUGUCCGGAAAGAAAUCCUUGGCUCUAAUACAGUCGGGGGAUGACGGUACCGGAAGAAUAAGCACCGGCUAACUACGUGCCAGCAGCCGCGGUAAUACGUAGGGUGCAAGCGUUAAUCGGAAUUACUGGGCGUAAAGCGUGCGCAGGCGGUUUGCUAAGACCGAUGUGAAAUCCCCGGGCUCAACCUGGGAACUGCAUUGGUGACUGGCAGGCUAGAGUAUGGCAGAGGGGGUAGAAUUCCACGUGUAGCAGUGAAAUGCGUAGAGAUGUGGAGGAAUACCGAUGGCGAAGGCAGCCCCCUGGGCCAAUACUGACGCUCAUGCACGAAAGCGUGGGGAGCAAACAGGAUUAGAUACCCUGGUAGUCCACGCCCUAAACGAUGUCAACUAGUUGUUGGGGAUUCAUUUCCUUAGUAACGUAGCUAACGCGUGAAGUUGACCGCCUGGGGAGUACGGUCGCAAGAUUAAAACUCAAAUGAAUUG
rnacentral:rRNA from 1 species